rnacentral:rRNA from 1 species
UACGGGGGGAGCAAGCGUUGUUCGGAUUUACUGGGCGUAAAGGGCGCGUAGGCGGCCAGCACAAGUCAGUUGUGAAAUCUCCGAGCUUAACUCGGAAAGGUCAACUGAUACUGUGCGGCUAGAGUGCAGAAGGGGCAACUGGAAUUCUUGGUGUAGCGGUGAAAUGCGUAGAUAUCAAGAGGAACACCUGAGGUGAAGACGGGUUGCUGGGCUGACACUGACGCUGGAGGCGCGAAAGCUAGGGUAGCAAACGGG